UACGUAUGGGGCAAGCGUUAUCCGGAUUUACUGGGUGUAAAGGGAGCGCAGGCGGCCUGGCAAGCCUGAUGUGAAAUACCGGGGCCCAACCCCGGGGCUGCAUUGGGAACUGCCAGGCUGGAGUGCCGGAGAGGCAGGCGGAAUUCCUAGUGUAGCGGUGAAAUGCGUUGAUAUUAGGAGGAACACCAGUGGCGAAGGCGGCCUGCUGGACGGUGACUGACGCUGAGGCUCGAAAGCGUGGGGAGCAAACAGG
rnacentral:rRNA from 1 species